GAAGCGCCAAUUCAGAUCUGCCUCACCUUCUCCUUCAGAACAAAUCAGUGCAAAGAAGUUAAAAGUACCUUCUCCUCAAGUUCCUUGCGUGAAAAGAAGUCCAAAGUCUAAUAUCAUUACAAAAAAAACUCUCCUAAACAGAAGACUCCUAGAAAAUCACAGAAACUGAAUAUCCGCUGCAUUCCCUAUGAUGUUAUUGUAUCAUCUUGGAUAAUGAGCGAUCGGCAGCGCGAUGCUGUCGCUAGGUUGGGAUUUUCAAGCAUAUUUGAUUUGCGAACUGAUGCCUUAGAGAGCCGAUCACUCAUCAGGUGGUUGAUGGAUAAAUUGGAUCCUCAUGACAUGACCAUACGCCUAGGGGCUGGCAAGGAACUGAAAAUAACAAAAGAUACGGUUCAUCUGAUUUUGGGUUUGCCAUGUGCUGGAGGAGGCAGGGAGUUUACCGAUUGGUAUGGCGAAGUGGAUGCUGCUGCAAAACUGAGACGUGAUCUCAAUGUUGGUAAAGAAGAAUUUGAUGUUGUCAAGCUUCAAGACAAGAUAGUGCUUGGCAACGAUGAUGAGCUAUCAAUUAGAUGUUUUUUCUGAUUCUAUUCAAUCGGCUUCUUUUUCCUUCUGCUUCUUGGGGCAUUACAAACAAUGAGGUACUCAUGACUUCAAACAUGGCCCGAAUGUCUGAUAUUGACUGGUGUCAACUAGUUUACACGGAUUUGUGUGAUGCUGCCGCACGUUGGCAUAAAAGGAACAAAACAAACAUCACAGCAACAAUAUAUGGAUGCUCACUCAUUGUUCUGAUUUACUACCUUGAUCACCUACAUCACCCUGCAUCUCCUGUUAACAAAUAUGGUACUCCACGCAUUAAGUUUUUUGACAAUGAGACC